rnacentral:rRNA from 1 species
GACGAACGCUGGCGGCGUGCCUAAUACAUGCAAGUGGGACGCAAGGAAACACACUGUGCUUGCACACCGUGUUUUCUUGAGUCGCGAACGGGUGAGUAACGCGUAGGUAUCCUGCCUAUUAGCGGGGGAUAACUAUUGGAAACGAUAGCUAAUACCGCAUAAUAUUAAUUAUUGCAUGAUAAUUGAUUGAAAGAUGCAAGCGCAUCACUAGUAGAUGGACCUGCGUUGUAUUAGCUAGUUGGUAAGGUAAGAGCUUACCAAGGCGACGAUACAUAGCCGACCUGAGAGGGUGAUCGGCCACACUGGGACUGAGACACGGCCCAGACUCCUACGGGAGGCAGCAGUAGGGAAUCUUCGGCAAUGGACGAAAGUCUGACCGAGCAACGCCGCGUGAGUGAAGAAGGUUUUCGGAUCGUAAAGCUCUGUUGUAAGUCAAGAACGUGUGUGAGAGUGGAAAGUC